UACGUAGGGUGCAAGCGUUAAUCGGAAUGACUGGGCGUAAAGGGCGCGUAGGCGGUUUGGACAGUCAGAUGUGAAAUUCCUGGGCUCAACCUGGGGGCUGCAUUUGAUACGUUCGGACUAGAGUGGGGAAGAGGGUCGUGGAAUUCCCAGUGUAGAGGUGAAAUUCGUAGAUAUUGGGAAGAACACCGGUGGCGAAGGCGGCGACCUGGUCCUUGACUGACGCUGAGGCGCGAAAGCGUGGGGAGCAAACAGG
rnacentral:rRNA from 1 species